rnacentral:rRNA from 1 species
UAGGGAAUCUUCCACAAUGGACGCAAGUCUGAUGGAGUAACGCCGCGUGAGUGAAGAAGGUUUUCGGAUCGUAAGGCUCUGUUGUUGGUGAAGAAGGAUAGAGGCAGUAACUGGUCUUUAUUUGACGGUAAUCAACCAGAAAGUCACGGCUAACUACGUGUCAGCAGCCGCGGUAAUCCGUAGGUGGCAAGCGUUGUCCGGGUUUAUUUGGCGCACAGCGAGCGCAGGCGGAAUGAUCAGUCUAAUGUGAAAGCCCACGGCUGAACCGUGGAACUGAAACGGAAACUGUCAUUCUUGAGUGCAGAAGAUGAGAAGUGAAUUCCAUGUGUCGCGGUAGAAUGCGUAGAUAUAUGGAUGGACACCAGUGGCGAAGGCGGCGCUCUGGUCUGCAACUGACGCUGAGGCUCAAAAGCAUGGGUAGCGAACAGG